GCCAGUAUGGUGCAGUGGUUUGAGCAUUGGACUAUAACUCUGAAGAUCAGAGUUAAAUUCUCUGCUCAGCCA